rnacentral:rRNA from 1 species
UACAGAGGGUGCGAGCGUUGUCCGGAAUCACUGGGCGUAAAGGGCGCGUAGGUGGUGGCUUAAGCGUGCGGUGAAACCUCGGGGCUCAACCCCGAGCCUGCAUUCGAUACGGGCAGACUAGAGUUCGGUAGGGGAGACUGGAAUUCCUGGUGUAGCGGUGAAAUGCGCAGAUAUCAGGAGGAACACCGGUGGCGAAGGCGGGUCUCUGGGCCGAUACUGACGCUGAGGAGCGAAAGCGUGGGGAGCGAACAGG